UUAUGAGAUUUGAGGGUUUUGAGAUCCUGACGUCAUCUUUUAGCUUUGUUGGGAUUCGCCCGUUUUCAGCGGCAGUUUCAAAAUGUGAGAUUUUCAGAGGAAAGGCAUGUCAAUGGGAUUUGGAGCUUCUAUGUAUGUCCUAUUUACCCACUGAACUGUCGUUCUUCACCUAUGACAAGGUAAAAUGGGUUUUGCCUUCUAUCACCCCUUU